GGGGAAACCUGAAGAGCACAGAUACAUAGAAAAUAAAAACUUGGGUUCUCAAAAGCAAGGGUUUAUCAGGAUUUCAGGGCUUUUUUGUUAUUUUCUGAAUAUCCUUGUCUUACGCAGGGCUAAAGUCCACCAUUACAGUUGGAAGAAUCCCGGUUCACAAGUGUGUAGCACGAGCAACAUCUUGACCCUCAAUACCAGCUUUCCGGGCUCUAAGAUUGGGGUUCGCAUAAGGGACACAGUUUUUGUCAAUGUCCACCAUGAAGCCAACCAUGCUGUUUCCAUCAAGUGGAAGGGCGUUAAGGAUUCAAUUGAUGGUUCGCAUGAUUUAAUUCAGUCAGAGAGAAACUUCACUUACAAGAUUGAAUUGAAUGAUUUAACCUCUUUCUACGUUAAUGUAAUAUAAGUUUAAAUUGUUCUUUGAUUGAUUAGAUUUUCACUUCACUUACGAGAUUGAAUUGAAUGAUUUAACCUCUUUCUACGUUAAUGUAAUC